rnacentral:rRNA from 1 species
GACCAGCACACCGCGUGAGGGAUGAAGGCCUCCGGGUUGGAAACCUCUUUUCUCAAGGAACAAAAUAUGACGGUUCUUGAGGAAUAGGCAUCGCCUAACCCUGUGCCAGCAGCCGCGGUAAUACCGGGGAUGCAAGUGUUAUCCGGAAUUAUUGGGCGUAAAGCGUCUGCUGGUGGAUAAUCAAGUCUUUUGUUAAAGCUCGAGGCUUAACCUCGAAUCUGCAAAAGAAACUAGUUAUCUUGAUGAUACUAUAGGUAAAGGGAAUUUUCAGUGGAACGGUGAAAUGCGUAGAUAUUGAAAGGAACACCAAAGGCGAAGGCACUUUACUGGGCCAUUACUGACACUCAGAGACGAAAGCUAGGGGAGCAAACGAGAUUAGAUACCUCGGUAGUCCUAGCUGUAAACGAUGGAUACUACAUGUUGGGUAGAUUUCUAUUCAUUGUCGAAACUAACGCGUUAAGUAUCUCACCUGGGAAGUAUGCUCGCAAGAGUGAAACUCAAAGGA